GAGUCACCUGCCUUAGACUUGACCCUCAGUUACACUUAUUUGCUUCUUAUCACCCCAAAAGGAUGAAGAUAUCCCAUGAAACCUGGACACAACAAAAUGCAUCAUGGGCUCUCUCUGAGGGCAGGUCCCGGAGGAAAGCUGGCUCCGUAGGGCUCACCUUCCAGAGUCUCCACAUGGAGACACCCCAGGAUUUCCGGACUCCCUAAACUCCGUGGCACCCGCAGCUUGUUCCUCAGCUGGCAGCGGCAAGGAUUAAGCAAGAGCCAGCACAGGGGGCAGCAUUUGCUACCUGGGAUUCCUGCAGGGAGCAGGGGCGUAGCUUCCCCACCAGCUCUCUUCCCUGAGUGGACCUGAGAUACGGGCUGUCUCCGUCACCCUGCAGGGAGGCCGCCCUUUCCAGUGACUCUCCAAAGCAAAAAGCCCUGAACUGGAGCAUUUGCCAGUUUCCGCAGUGUAAACACCCCUCCUGUGGUGGAUUCCAAGCCACCAGUGUGACAUCACUGAAGGCAGAGUGGGAAAGACGUGCAGUGGCGCACGAUGACAUAGCGCUCCCAGCGUACAGACACACAGCAGAGUGUUGUUCACAAGAGCCAAAAGGUGGAAGAAAUCCAGGUGUUCACCAGUGAUGAAUGGGUACAGCGAAUGUGAUCUAUCCAUACAGUGGACUGUUAUUCAGCCUUGAAAAUGAAGGAGAUUCUGUUACAUGCUACCACAUGGAUGAACCU